rnacentral:rRNA from 1 species
UACAGAGGUGGCAAGCGUUGUUCGGAAUUACUGGGCGUAAAGGGCGCGUAGGCGGCCUUGUAAGUCCCGUGUGAAAGCCCCCGGCUCAACUGGGGAAUUGCACGGGAAACUGCGGGGCUUGAGUUCGGGAGAGGGAAGCGGAAUUCCGGGUGUAGCGGUGAAAUGCGUAGAUAUCCGGAGGAACACCAGUGGCGAAGGCGACUACCUGGCCUGUUUCUUGACGCUGAGGCGCGAAAGCGUGGGGAGCGAACAGG